AGCCCGACCCAAGCAGGCGCUGACCCGAUGCCUCUUGUCCUUGCAGGAAGGUGAACAAGUGCUACCGGGGCCGCUCCUGCCCUAUCAUUGUGCACUGCAGUGACGGCGCAGGCAGGACCGGGACCUACAUCCUCGUCGACAUGGUCUUGAACCGCAUGGCCAAAGGUGUGAAGGAGAUCGACAUCGCUGCGACACUGGAGCACAUCCGCGACCAGCGGCCCGGCAUGGUGCAGACCAAGGACCAGUUUGAGUUUGCUCUGACCGCCGUGGCUGAGGAGGUGAACGCCAUCCUGAAGGCUCUGCCGCAGUGAUGGCGAGGAUCCCCUGCCCUUCCCUCUCGUCUCCCUGCCGUCCCCCUACCCUCUGGCUUUGAGCGCGCUCCUGGCCCUGUAAAUGCUGUCUGUGCUGCUAGAUCUGUUUUUUUCCCACCCCUCUCCUUGGGCUGCAGGGCUCAGCCCUCUGCGUGCCCCAUGGCGUGCAGCCCCUUUGCUCCCACUGCUGCAGUGGAGUGUGGGCUCCUGUCCCCUGUGGCAUAGGGGAAGGGCAGUGAUGCUGGAAGAUUGGCUGUGGGGAUCCCCCGGCUGCUCUCCCACCUCUAUCCCUGUGCCCAAGGGGGGACAGGAGUGGGAGGGGGUCCUAGCCCUGCCCUGUCUUCUCCUUGUCACCCCCACCUCGUCACUCGAGCAGAAGAGAAAUUUCUAGAGAAAUAUAAUUUUGUAUCUUGAUGUGAAUAAAGUUCUCGUGUCAUGUUUGUGCAGCUGCAGCUGA